GGGCCUUUAGCUCAGCGGUUAGAGCAACCGGCUCAUAACCGGUCGGUCGCGGGUUCGAAUCCUGCAAGGCCCA
rnacentral:tRNA from 1 species